rnacentral:tmRNA from 1 species
GUACCGGUUUCGACGGGGAUGAUGCAGCUUUAGAAGCUAUCCGAAAGACAGUUGCGUUAAACUUCAAACUUAAAAUUAAACGCUAACGAUAAUAGUUACGCACUCGCAGCCUAAGUGCUGCGGAUCAGCCUGAGUGCACUCACACAUUCAGAUCCUGAUCUCAUCUAUGUGAGAAACGACGUUGCAGGUUCCUCCCUGUAACGGGCGUAUUAGAGGAUACCGGUCUGCAGGAGACGUGCAUAUGUCCUGCAGGUGGGGAAUCUUGAUUGUGUACUAUGAUAGUAGAAGGAAAGGGAAUUCAUUUUCGGACACGGGUUCGACUCCCGUCUGGUCCAU